UACGGAGGGAGCUAGCGUUAUUCGGAAUUACUGGGCGUAAAGCGCACGUAGGCGGCUUUGUAAGUAAGAGGUGAAAGCCCAGAGCUCAACUCUGGAAUUGCCUUUUAGACUGCAUCGCUUGAAUCAUGGAGAGGUCAGUGGAAUUCCGAGUGUAGAGGUGAAAUUCGUAGAUAUUCGGAAGAACACCAGUGGCGAAGGCGGCUGACUGGACAUGUAUUGACGCUGAGGUGCGAAAGCUAGGGGAGCGAAUGGG
rnacentral:rRNA from 1 species